rnacentral:lncRNA from 1 species
UAAAAAAGAAACUCAAACGAAAAGAAACUUUUAUUCGAACAUUAUUAAUUUGCAAUUUUUACUAAAACAAAUUUUAGACAAUUUAACUUCUUUCUAUCUAAAUUCCAUUUUUUCGCUGAUUCAUAUGAUAUGGAAAGACUACGAAGAAUGUUCGUCGUGGCAGGCGGCGCUCUUGGACAUCCACCUCCGAAUUCUCCUACCCUCGAUACCUCUAAGAAGAGCCAUUAAUGCAAAAAAAGCCACCAAAAAUCCUACGGUAUUUAAAAGGGUAUUUAGGUGUCAGUGACUCCAGUAAGACCUCCACCUCAAGCAAGAAUUGAAUUGAUUCCCAACUGGGUUUAGUGAAAAUUGCUCAAUUUUCUCAAAAUCUUCAAUACCCAGAUGAAAUGGACCCAGAGAAAGAGAGUUGUGCGUUUGAUAGUUGAAUUGGGAACUUGAACAGUGUGUAUUUUGGGAGAGAUCACGAUUUUGCAUGUUUCCACAGAACAUCUUUUAAAGCCACGUCAGAGGGAAAAAUUGGUGAAAUACCAGGUAGUGCGUAUACAUUUGAUUAUGUGUGUUUGUGUAACAUUCAUUGUUUUAGGAUUGCUAGUAUGUUUGAUUGGGCAAAAUUGUUGAAAUACGCAGUGUUGGGGCCGACGUAGAGGCAGUGGUGCCGACAGACAGAGGCGAUCGUCGGCUGGGUAGGAGUGGUUUUGGUUUUGGUUUUGGUUUUGGGAUGAGACAGUCGGGAAAGAUGAGAUGGGCGUAGGGGGUUGUGC